AGGGUGUUAAGUUAAAUAGACUUUAGUACUUCAAAUACUAGUGUGGGCACUUAGCGCCCCCACCCUG
rnacentral:tRNA from 1 species